rnacentral:rRNA from 1 species
GAUUUCAUAAAUAUUAUUUUAUUUUAUAAUUUUUUUAAAUAUUUAUGGGGAGUAAUACGCUUUCGUUUCUUAGGAUAUCUAAUUUGGUUUAUUUCUAAAGGGAAAUCUUUUUGAGAUUUUCAGUAUUGUUGGGAGAUAUGUUUUUUUUAGUAGUAAAUGGGUGUGUAAUAACUUUUUUGGUUUUUGGGGAAUUUUUUUUUGUUUUAUUAUGUAAAGUAAUUAAUUAAUAGAUUAGUAGAUUUUAUUGAUUUUUUUCUUGUUUUUGUUAUAUUAUAGAUUAGAAAUUAUUUUAUACUUACUGAUUUUUUCUUAGACUGGUUAAUAAAAUCUUAGCUGCAAAAUUUGUAGUUGUUUCUGCUCUAUGCUUAAAGUAAAUGGCUGUUUAUAACACUAAGGUAGCAAAAUCAUUAGCCACUUAAUUGGUGGCUUGUAUGAAUGAAUUUUCUAAGAGAAUAUUAAUUUUCUUUUUGAAUUUAUAUAUUUGUUGAAAAUAACAAUUUUUCCCAUAAGACUAAAAGACCCUAAAAUUUUUAUAAUCAAAAUUAUGAUUAUUUAGUUGGGGCAAUGGUAAAAGAUUAAUAUUAAAUGAUUUAUUUUUUUCUGAACUUUUUUUAUUGAUAAAAGGUAAAAUACUUUAGGGAUAACAGCUUAAUUAUUCUUAGGAGUUCUUAUUAUUAGAGUAGUUUUAGACCUCGAUGUUGGAUUGGGGAGGCUUUUUGGGGUAC